rnacentral:sRNA from 1 species
ACUCUUCCGGUUGCAGCCUGAGAAAUCAGGCUGAUGGCUGGUGACUUUUUAGUCACCAGCCU